rnacentral:rRNA from 1 species
UACGUAGGGUGCAAGCGUUAAUCGGAAUUACUGGGCGUAAAGCGUGCGCAGGCGGUUAUGCAAGACAGAUGUGAAAUCCCCGGGCUCAACCUGGGAACUGCAUUUGUGACUGCAUGGCUAGAGUGCGGCAGAGGGGGAUGGAAUUCUGCGUGUAGCAGUGAAAUGCGUAGAUAUGCGGAGGAACACCGAUGGCGAAGGCAAUCCCCUGGGCCUGCACUGACGCUCAUGCACGAAAGCGUGGGGAGCAAACAGG